CCUACGGGGGGCUGCAGUGGGGAAUAUUGCACAAUGGGCGAAAGCCUGAUGCAGCAACGCCGCGUGAGCGAUGAAGGUCUUCGGGUCGUAAAGCUCUGUCCUAAGGGAAGAAUACUGACGGUACCUUAGGAGGAAGCCCCGGCUAACUACGUGCCAGCAGCCGCGGUAAUACGUAGGGGGCUAGCGUUAUCCGGACUUACUGGGCGUAAAAGGUGCGUAGGCGGCCCUUCAAGUCAGAGGUGAAAGGCUACGGCUCAACCGUAGUAAGCCUUUGAAACUGUAGGGCUUGAGAGUAGGAGAGGAGGGUGGAAUUGCCAGUGUAGCGGUCAAAAGCGUAGAUAUUGGGAGGAAUACCAGGUGCGAAGGCGGCUCUCGGGACUGUAACUGACGCUGAGGCACGAAAGUGUGGGGGGCGAACAGGAUUAGAUACCCUAGUAGUC
rnacentral:rRNA from 1 species